CAAGCGGUUUUCGUGAUACAAGGCCAAUAUCAUGUUUCUGGAACGUGAUAUUGCCAUACAUUUUUGACACCUCCAAUAUCACCUUCCCGAACGUGAUAUUCUGAAUAUCACGAUACAACUGCUCGAAAUUGCUGCUCGAAUGUCGAUUUUCUGGCAACCCUGGCGGGAAUUUGACAGAAAUGUCAUUUGGAAAAGUUUGUUUUUAUUGUUGUUUUCCUUGACCGAAAUCAGGAGGAUUGUGCUCCAAAAGCAGCAAAAAUAUUUCAUUUUCUGCAAAACUCUUCCGCUGCGGUUAUUCCGGAAAAUCAGACAGCAGGUGAUGGACCCGUGAAUAUUGCUUCGGAUUAAUGGAAGCUCCAGUGGUGGCCACAACGAAAGGCCCUGUGAGUGUGGAAAAUUGCAAUGGGAAGGAAGGAAUUACUGUGGCCCGGAUAGUACGAUGGACUGUCACACAUCGCGACACGAUCAUCAGAACAUCGCAAUUGCCGGAGGAACUUCUUCUAGAACCCACAUUUCAACUUCAAGCACUUCCCCGCACAGCAACGGAGCGCUGCGAUAAUGUUCUGCGGCCAGAGUUCAAUUUCGCAAAAGUAUAUCAGCAGUCAGCACCCAGAUAGAAUUCCAAACAGCAUUUUCGGCAUCUCCGUCUUCGAGAGCGAAUCGUUUGGUGAAAUUAUCAGCCGUAUGAGAGGCAUUCCGUGAUGGUGACGCGUGCCUGUGGCUAGUAGAUUACCAAGCAGCAAAAAGCAAACCAAUUGGUGGAAUAUUAGUUAACUAUCCGGAAGAUGUCCACCUAUCUAACUACCCACUAAUCCUAGUUAUGUGUGUUUGUGUUGUGUGCGUACCUAGUUAAAAAAGCCACAAAUAAGUGUGAUAUGAAGAAAAAACUUAAUGUACCAAGCAGAAUUCCAAAUAAACUUUUUUAUUCGCUUUUGUUUACGUGAAUUAUUCUACACAUUCGAUCAGGAACUACUGCAAAUAUGCAAUGAUUCUUCUUGUGAUUUCUCUAGCAAGUCUAAAAAGAGCAUCUGUGAAUUUUUCCAGAAGGAGCUCCUGGAGGAAUCCUCAGAGGGAACUCCUGGAGGAAUCACCAGAGAAAACUUCUGAAGAAACCUGUGGAGCAAUCCCCCGAGGAAACUCCUAGUUGGAAUACGUUGAUAAAACUUCUGGUAGAAUUCUCAGCAGAAACUCCUGGAGGGAACUCCCGGAGGAAUUGCCACAGGGAACUCCCGCAGGAAUUCCUAGAAGGAAUUCUUGGAGAAGUUUUCAUAGGGAAUCUUGGAUCAUGGAUAAACAUUGAAUCUUUGGAGAAUUCUUGGAAGAAGUCAUUGAGAUUUCUAGAUAGCUCUUUAAGUGAAUUCCUGACAAAGUCUUUGGAGGAAUCCAUGGAAGAACUCCUGGAGAAAGCCUUGGAAAAAUGUCUCGAAUCCUAAUAUUUUGAAGAGAAUAAUCGUGGAAGAAUCUUUGAAAGAUUUUCUCAAAGAACCCUUGGAGAAGUUCUUGUAGGAUUUUUUAUUGUAAAUUUUAAGAAGUAGGUAAUCAAAGAAUUCCUUUAUAAACUCAUUCAAGUUUUCCUCAAUAUAUACAUUCAGGAAUUUUUUCACGGGUUCCUUGAAAAAAUUCCUCAAGGAUUACUUUAAAAACUCCUUGAAAGAUUCCUUCCGGAAUUUUUUCGAGAGUUUCUUUAAAAACUUUUCAAGGAUUAUUUUAGAAAUUUUUUCAAGAAUUCCUUCAAGGAUUCCUUCUCGAGUUCCUUUAAUAACUCCUUCAAGGAAUUUUUAAGGAGUAGGAUUCCUUCACGAAUUCCUUUAAUAAUAACUUCAAGGAUUUCUUGAGGAGUUCCUUCAAGGAUUCCUUUAGAAAUUAAUUCAAAGAUUUCUUCAGGAAUUUAUUCAAAGAUUCCUCCAGAAAUUCCUUCAAGGAUUCCUCCACAUAUUUCAGCAAGGAUUCCUCCAGGAAUUCCUUCAAGGAUUUCUCCAGAAAUUCCUUCAAAGAUUUCUUCAGGCAUUCCUUCAAGAAUUUCUCAAGGAAUUCCUUCAAGUAUUCCUCUAGGAAUUCCUUUAAAGAAUUCUUCAUGAAUUCCUUCAAAGAUUCUUCCAGCAAUUUCUUCAAAGAUUCCUCUAGAAUUCACUCAGUGAUUCCUUCAGGAAUUCUUUCCAGGAUUCCUUCAUAAAUUCCUUAUGGAAUUCUUUCACGAAUUCCUCCAUGAACUCUGUCAAUGAUUUCUUCGGAUAUACCUUUAAGGAUUUUUCUAGGAAUUCCUUCAAGGAUUCCUCUAGGAAUUCCUUCAAGGAUUUCUCAAGCAAUUCCUUCAAAGAUUCAUCCAGCAAAUCCUUCAAGGAUUCCUCUAGGAAUUCCUUCGAGGAUUUAUUCAGGAAUAAUUUCAAGGAUUCCUCCAGGAGUUCCUUCAAAGAUUCCUCCAGAAAUUCUUUCAAUGAUUCUUGCAGGGCUUCAAGGAUUCAUCCAGCAAAUCCUUCAAGGAUUCCUCCAGGAAUUCCUUCGAGGAUUUAUUCAGGAAUAAUUUCAAGGAUUCCUCCAAGAGUUCCUUCAAAGAUUCCUCCAGAAAUUCUUUCAAUGAUUCUUGCAGGACUUCCUUCUAGGAUUCUUGCAGAAAUUUCUUCAAGGAUUCAUCCAGAAAUUCCUUCAAGGACUCCUCCAGAAAUUCCUUCAAGGAUUUUUCCAGAUAUUCCAGCAAGGAUCCCUCCAGGAAUUCCUUAAAGGAUUCCUCCGGGAAUUUCUCCAACGAUUCCCCAAGAAAUUCCUUCAAGGAACUUCCAGAAACUUCUUCAAGGAUGCCUCCCGAAAUUGCUUCAAGGAUUCCUUAAGGAAUUCUUUCUAAGAUUCUUUCAAAAUUUUCUCUAAAGAUUCCUCUAGGUAUUCCUUCAAGGAUUUCUCCGGAAAUUCCUUCAAAGAUUUCUUCAGGAAUUCCUUCAAGGAUUUCACCAAGAAUUCCAUCAAGGAUUCCUCCAGAAAUUUCUUCAAGGAUUCCUUUAUAAACCCUUUCAAGGUUUCCUUAAUAAAUUCCUUUUGGAAUUCUUUCACGGAUUCCUCCAUGAACUCUUUCAAUGAUUUCUUCGGAUAUUUCUUCAAGGAUUUUUCAAGGAAUUUCUGCAAAGAAUCCUCCAAUAAUUCCUUCCAGAAAUUCCUCCAGGAAUUCCUUUGAGGAUUUCUCAAGGAAUUCCUUCAAAGAUUCCUCCAGAAAAUCUUACAAGGAUUCCUCCAUGAAUUCCUUCGAGGAUUUAUUCAGCAAUUCUUUCAAGGAUUCCUCCAGGAGUUUCUUCAAAGAUUUCUCCAGAAAUUCUUUCAAUGAUUCUUGCAGGACUUCCUUGUAGGAUUCUUGCAAAAAUUCCUUCAAGGAUUCAUCCAGAAGUUCCUUCAAGGAUUCCUCCAGAAAUUCUUUCAAGGAUUCUUCCAGAUAUUCCAGCAAGGAUCCCUCCAGGAAUUCCUCAAAGGAUUCCUCCCGAAAUUCCUACAAGGAUUCCUCCAGGAAUUCCUUCGGAAGUUCUUUCAAGGAUUCUUCCAGGAAUUCCAAGGAAUUCCUUCAAGGAUUCAUCAAGAAAUUCCUUCUAGGGUUUCUCCAGAUAUUCCGUCAAGGAUUCCUCCAGGAAUUCCUUCAACGAUUCCUCCAGGAAUUCCUUCAAUGAUUUCUUCAGAAAUUCCUUCUAGGAUUUCUCUAGGAAUUCUCCAAGGAUUCCUCCAGGAAUUCCUCCAACGAUUCCCCCAAAAAAAUCCUUCAAGGAUUCCUCCAGAAAGUUCUCCAUAGAUUCCUCCAGGAAUUUCUUCAUGGAUUCCUCCAGGAAUUCCUACAAGGAUUUCAACAGGAAUUCCUUCAAAGAUUUCUUCAGGAAUUCCUUCAAGGAUUCUGUGGUACCUUGUGGUAUGCACAUAAUAAAUUAUUGUAUUACUCUAUUACGUUUAGCGUGUAUGUUUACAUUGAGUAUCUGUCAUAUGUGGAGAUGUUGUUAUUGUUGUCUAGAGUGUGAAUCAUUGUAUGUUAUAUUAAAGUAUCGGUAAUAAAGUGUAUACAAAUAAUGAAUACAGUUGUUGAAUAAUCAUUACAGAGAAAGAUUCUCACAUUGGCGACGAGAACGGUGAACAGUGCAUGUGAAAUUAGUUUAAUUUCGGUUCGGGAAGUGUUGUCUGGAAAAAGAAAGAGAUGAGUGGUGUGUGUGUGUGGUGCAUGCAGAGUGGUGAUGACCUCCAGGUGAUGACUUGUGAUUGAAUUUCAACAUUGGAAUCAAAAAGGUACAACCACAAGUAACGGCCAAGUAAUUUACCAAAAUGCCGAGCAGAGAUGGAUGACCAAAUGGAUGACUGUACUUCUAAUUUUGAUGUGAGACUGAAGCGAGACGUUUAUAAACUGAGGAGACUAUAAGCGAAACAACGUGGAGUGACCUUGCUGCGGAUCUGGAGAAAAAACGAGAUGUGGUACCUUGUGGUAUGCACAUAAUAAAUUAUUGUAUUACUCUAUUACGUUUAGCGUGUAUGUUUACAUUGAGUAUCUGUCAUAUGUGGAGAUGUUGUUAUUGUUGUCUAGAGUGUGAAUCAUUGUAUGUUAUAUUAAAGUAUCGGUAAUAAAGUGUAUACAAAUAAUGAA